AAUGGGGGCAACCCUGAUCCAGCCAUGCCGCGUGAGUGAUGAAGGCCUUAGGGUCGUAAAGCUCUUUCGCCUGUGAAGAUAAUGACGGUAGCAGGUAAAGAAACCCCGGCUAACUCCGUGCCAGCAGCCGCGGUAAUACGGAGGGGGUUAGCGUUGUUCGGAAUUACUGGGCGUAAAGCGCACGUAGGCGGACUGGAAAGUUGGGGGUGAAAUCCCAGGGCUCAACCCUGGAACUGCCUCCAAAACUAUCAGUCUAGAGUUCGAGAGAGGUGAGUGGAAUUCCGAGUGUAGGGGUGAAAUUCGUAGAUAUUCGGAGGAACACCAGUGGCGAAGGCGGCUCACUGGCUCGAUACUGACGCUGAGGUGCGAAAGUGUGGGGAGCAAACAGGAUU
rnacentral:rRNA from 1 species